CCUACGGGUGGCAGCAGUGGGGAAUAUUGGGCAAUGGGCGCAAGCCUGAUCCAGCAACGCCGCGUGAAGGAAGAAGGCUUUCGGGUUGUAAACUUCUUUUGACAGGGAAGAGUUGAAGACCUUCCCUGUUGAAUCAGUCCCGGCCAACUACGGGCCAGCAGACGCGGUAACACGUAGGUGGCAAGUGUUUUCCGGGUGUACUGGGUGUAAAGGGCGUGUAGACGGGUGGAAAAGUCAGGAGUGAAAUCCUACGGCUUAACCACCGAACUGCUUUGGAAACUGUGGAGUUUGAGUGCUGGAGAGGCAAGCGGAAUUCCUAGUGUAGCGGUGAAAGGCGUAGAUAUUAGGAGGAACACCAGUGGCGAAGGCGGUUUACUGGACAGCAACUGACGUUGAGGCGCGAAAGCGUGGGGAGCAAACAGGAUUAGAUACCCCGGUAGUC
rnacentral:rRNA from 1 species